AAUCUUGGACAAUGGGGGCAACCCUGAUCCAGCGACGCCGCGUGUGUGAAGAAGGCCUUCGGGUUGUAAAGCACUUUCGGCAGGGACAAACACGACGGGGCUAAUAUCCCCGUUCCUGAUGGUACCUGAAGAAGAAGAACCGGCUAACUCUGUGCCAGCAGCCGCGGUAAUACAGAGGGUGCAAGCGUUAAUCGGAAUUACUGGGCGUAAAGCGUGUGUAGGUGGUUUGUUAAGUCAGGUGUGAAAUCCCUGGGCUCAACCUAGGAAUUGCAUUUGAUACUGACAAGCUCGAGUGUGGUAGAGGAUGGUGGAAUUCCCGGUGUAGCGGUGAAAUGCGUAGAUAUCGGGAGGAACAUCAGUGGCGAAGGCGGCCAUCUGGACUAACACUGACACUGAGACACGAAAGCGUGGGGAGCAAAC
rnacentral:rRNA from 1 species